rnacentral:misc_RNA from 1 species
UUUUUUUUUUUUUUUUGGCUUUUAUUUCACCCUAUUUUUAGUUUAUGAUAGUGUUUCCAAAUACUUACAAUUUCUGGCAUAAUCAAAUAAAUUGCAAUUGUAAAGAAGAGAUAAAUUGACAUCAUAUGAGUUUCAUUUUAUAUGCUUCUUGAAUGGUGAAAAUCAAGAAUAUAUUUGGCUUUCUUGUCAAUGCUGGAAAUAUUUUAAUUGUAUUAAAUAUUUAUACUUGAUGGCUGAGUAGGUUCUACAUGCUUCAUCUCAAUUAACUAAUCUGCGCAUGUUAAUAAUUUAUUGCUACAAAACAAUGUUCUUAUGUGAUUCUGUUUAGCAAUUGCCAUUUCUGAUUUACGUAUCUCUUUGUAAUGCAGGAAAAUGUUGAUUCCUCUACCUG